CCUACGGGGGGCAGCAGUCGAGAAUCAUUCACAAUGGGGGAAACCCUGAUGGUGCGAAGCCGCGUGGGGGAAUGAAGUCCUUCGGAUUGUAAACCCCUGUUAUGUGGGAGCAAAUUAAAAAGAUAGUACCACAAGAGGAAGAGCCCGCUAACUCUGUGCCAGCAGCCGCGGUAAUACAGAGGGCUCAAGCGUUGUUCGGAAUCACUGGGCGUAAAGCGUGCGUAGGCUGUUUCGUAAGUCGUGGGUGAAAGGCGCGGGCUCAACCCGCGGACGGCACAUGAUACUGCGAGACUAGAGUAAGGGAGGGGGAACCGGAAUUCUCGGUGUAGCAGUGAAAUGCGUAGAUAUCGAGAAGAACACUCGUGGCGAAGGCGGGUUCCUGGACAUUAACUGACGCUGAGGCACGAAGGCCAGGGGAGCGAAAGGGAUUAGAUACCCCAGUAGUC
rnacentral:rRNA from 1 species